GAGCUUCCGGUGACCUGUGGUAAUGCUCGGGGGACUCUGUAUGUGGAGAAAUUUGCGCAAGGCAUCUAUGAGAAGAGUAUACUGACUGAGAACGGAGAGUGGCUAACUCUCAGGGAGUUUGAAAUCAGAGGAAACCGUGAAAGAUCCAGGAGCUGGAGGCAAAGCAUAUAUUGUCAAGGAUGGAACCUGGGAUGUUUAAUAAAGGGAGGACUUCUACCAGACUCACCUAGGACAAGGGGACAGAGGGAAAACCGAACAAGCCCAGAGUGAACAAAGAAAAACGUAACUGCCCCAUGAUCAUCUGCCAUGAUGUCAGAGGCCAUUAACAACAAAUUAUUAGUUGUUCAUCUCUGCCAUGUUAUAGUUCUU